rnacentral:lncRNA from 1 species
AAGGACACUGCAGUAAGAAGAAGUUGGGAGCGACAAGCAAAGAAGACUGUAAAGAAGUUGUUCAUCAGCACAGAGUGUGAUAUCCUGAAAGCCAAAUGAAGAAAGAAGCAAGCAUCAAGAUCAAGAAGAAAGAAGUAAACCAGUUGUGUCAAAAGUUGGUUCAGGCCGGGCGCAGUGGCUCACGCUUGUCAUCCCAGUACUUUGGGAGGCUGAGGAAGAGGACAAGAGACCUGGGCUCCCUCUCUUUCCACCGUAUCGAGGACACAGCAAGAAGGCAACCAUCUGUAAGCCAGGAAGUGGACCCUCACCAGGAACCAAAGCUGCCUAUACCUUGAUCUUGAACUUUGAAGACUCCAACACUGUGAGAAAUAAGUAUCUGCUGUUUAAGGCUCCCAGUCUUUGAUAUUUUUUUAUGGCAGCCUGAGGUGACUACGAUAGCAGGACUUGAAUCUAGUCCAGGAAAGCCACAGGGCUCUGUUUCCUCUCUCAUGCUGCAUUCUUCCUGCAAUGAAAGUAAGUUAUUAGCAAUGCAGUUUUCCACAGUUACUCCGAUGUUUUGCCUGGGCCUGUUCAGACCUUUCAGGACUCAGUUAAGAACAAAUCCAGGGAUCGUUAUUUGCUUUCGCUGGAGAGCAAGCAAUAGACAUGUAGCCAUUAACUGAAAUGGUUUUGGACAUUAGGUCAAUUUCUGGGGGAAAUGGAAUCGGGAUGAACUGGCACCUUUGAGUGUAUGUGAUGUUCACUUCUUUUUCACGGUUCUCGAUACAAUUUCACCAGUAAAAAUUGUUCCUCAGUGUGGAACCUGCUAUUGCCAGAUAAAUGAAACCCCUUUGGCCUUGGGAUGUUAGGAGAGAGAGACAGAGAGAGAGAGAGGCAUGAAGACACUUUUCUAGUGUGAAUGGUGUUUUAUAGGCUCAAAGCAUGUGAGAGCUGGAAAGGACUUCAGAUUCAGCUAAGUCCACCCCCUCAUCUAAUAUGUGAGGAAACUGAGGCCCAGAGGGAGGAAAUGCCCAGCUCCAGGGCAGAGCUAGGAACACAGAAAGCAAGGGUCAUGGACCGAAUGUUUGUGUCAUCUCUCAAAUUCAUAUGUUGAAGCCCUGAUCCCCAUUGCAGUGGUAAGUCUGGUGAUAAACCUGGGAAGAUAACACUGAUCCAUCCUUCAUGAAAACAGAGAUGUCUCCAGGUAUUUCACAUGUAAAGUAGCUUAAAACAGAGAAUUAGUCACAUAUAAAGUGACUGAAAGUACUGGAGGAGCAAAGGUCAGGAAAAGCUGCUGACACUCAGUUUUAAUCACAGCUAUCAAAUAAUUUGAAACUGUAGGAAACUGUCACCAAUGAUUAUAUCUGCUUGCAGCAAUAAAGCAAGUGAUCUGUAGGAGAAAGGAGAUUUCUGUAAAAUCUCUCAUGUGCUAACAUCUGUGCAUAUAUUUGACUGACAAAGAGAAACAAUAAUAUGGCUCCUGUCUCUCACCUUUUCCAGCAUCUACUGGCAAAAUCUAUAGCAUAACUCUGGUGACAAAGAAUUCUGGGAAAUGUAGCUCCCAGGCUUCCAGCCCCUUGUGAAAUAGAGAAUAAAAAGGAGUAGAAAUGGUGCUAAACUGGUAACAGAAUUUCUAACACAACAGUUCUACUAAAUUCUUUCCACCCUUUCUUCCAUCACUCUGUAUUUCGUUUCCUCUUUUCUUCCUUUCCAGAAUAUUUGGUGAGGGACUCAGGGGACUGUUGUCUGUUUGUGCUGAGGCCUGGCUGGUGUAGAAUGAUAGAGAUUUGCCUUGAACAACAGCAUGCAUUUGAUGGGGGGAAAGGCCUUUCCAGAUAUUUGCAAACAAGCAAAAUCUUUUUUAAAAGAAAUCUGGACAUGUUUGUGUGUCACUAGAAAGAGCCAAACACCUAGCAGUGGAUCAAGACCCAGACUGCAGGUGCGGACAGAUCUGAAAUCUAGGUCUGGUUUUGCUCUUCACUACCUAGCAGACCCUGAGCAUCUGACAUAAUCUACGUCUUACUAAUAGGAAUAACAAGAGUUAUUAAUCUCAUAGGAUUCUUCUGAGAAUUGCACGAAAUAAUAUAUAUUGCAUUAUAUUUAGCACAUAGUGAAAAUUUUGUAGUGGUCCUGAUAUUAUUAUGCUUAUUUUAAAUCAUUAUUGAUAAUAACUAAUGUUGAGAGUUCAAAAAUUAGGGCUCAGUUUUGCAGAUAUCAGAAUUCAGUCUAGGUUCUCUAAGCAGAUAUGAAUCAAAUGCUAUUUACUAAAUGGCUUUUGGGAUCAAUAGAGAGGCUGAGGAAGCUGCCUCUUGGUUGAACUCUCAGGACUACCUCAGAGAACUUGGUCACCCAGGAGCCACUGCCUCAUUUUUGACCUGAAAACCUCCUGAUGAAUUGAGAAGCUGGUGCUCCACCUGCAGGGUCUGCACUUGCUCUUCCAUAAAUAGGAAGCCAGAAAGACAAGGAAGGCAUCUAUUAAAUCAGGAAACUGUCCGUACGGAUACGGGCUUGAGGCCUAUGCCACCCAUGUAUGGUCAAGAAGCAACUGGAAAAAAAAAUCAGACCUGCCCAGAAUGGUGCCCACAGAAAGAGAAGCAGCAGCAGAAAUGGGCUCCACUCCAUUGCCACCUUCCACAUUGCAGACAAGUGCAUCUAACCCAAAUCAUAUCCAGGGCCCCAGCUGUACAAUUGUUUGUACCAUGUAGUAUUUAGAUAUCUACAUCCUGCACCCCAGGAAGACACUCCAAAGGAAGUGGAGUGCCAAUCCACUAUUUUAAUCACUGGGAAACCAUGUUUUUCUCAACACUCAUGUUUUCUUGGGGAGCUACUUUCCCAGGGAAACACUCCUGGCCACUGUUUCCAUUCUUUACUUAUGGUUGUCCAUGAGAAAAGGUGUGUGAUAUUUAAUAAUGAGCUUGGCUCAGCUCCUUAGGGUUUCUUCCUUGAGUUAUGCUCAACACCAGUGAGGGUGCAUUCUCCUGUUCUCUGGGGCCAGGCAGUUAUCUUAGUCUAAAGGCCCUGCCCCUGUCCAGGGUGGCCAGCAAUGGCCCAGCUAUGAAGGAACUCGGUGAAUAAAUAUCUGUCUCCUGUAUAGGCAAAGUUUUAGCAAGCCCACCUGCCUACAUAGCUAAGCCAUGUGCUCUAAACAGCUUUGUCACUAAUGAAGCUCACAUUUUGACCCCAGAAUACUUGACUCUUGUUCAAUGCAAUUGAUUCCAAACUCAGGCAGGUGAUAGUGGGUGUUAUAUGUUAAUCCAUUAAAUUUCCAUUAUGAAAUUAGAGCUUGAGCAGAUAAUUAACAAAAGAAAUACAAAUGACAAAUAGUGAAUGAUCAAACUCAAAGGCAAUUAAACUUCAGUUUAAAAAAUUCAAAGACGCCGGGCGCAGUGGCUCACGCCUGUAAUCCCAGCACUUUGGGAGACAGAGGCGGGUGAAUCACCUGAGGUCAGGUUGCUGUGAGCUGAGAUCACACCACCACACUCCAGCCUGGGUGACGGAGUAAGACUCCAUCUAAAAAAAAAAAAAAAAAUCAAAGAAAAUUUUAACCUAAGACAUAAAAAAAAAAAAAAAGUGAAUACUCAGUGUGUGUGAUGAGUUAAAAAUACUGCCAUAUACUGCUAGUGGGUAUACAAAUUCAUAUAUUUGGGGAGAUAAAUUUUGUGAUAUAUAUCAAAGCCAUAUGGUUUAACCCAGAAAUCUUAUAUCUAAGCACUUCUUUCAAGGGGACAAAUGAGUUAUCCAUUUCAGUAUUACUUAUGAUAGUGAAAAGUUAUGACUUCCUCCAGGUUCCAAAACAGGAGAUUUAUGAAAUAGUUGCAGUACACAGAAUGUUAUGUUUCCAUUAAAAAAUGCCUUAGCAUCUGAAUAUUUGAUUUCAUCUGGAAAUAAUCAUGGCAUAGUAUUAAGUGAAAAAGAUUAUAAAACAGUGUAUAUAGCAUUCUCUUAGUUUUAUAAACACAUAUGUGUGCAUCUAUAUCUAUAUACACAUAUUUAUACAUAUGCAUGCAUCUAUCUAUACAUAUAUAUCUAUGGUUACAUAUGUAUUUAUAUAUGCAUGUAUGUGUACGCAUAGAUGUAUAUUUGUGAAAAAUGCAGUUAUGACAUAUGUGCUUUCUAAGCUUCUGUAAAAGGAGGGCUGGAGCAAAAGGGAUGGGAGAAUAAAACUAAUCUGUGUUUUUGAGUUUGGGCAGCUGCCUCUUUCUACCACUUUCCAUUCUCUUUCUGGUUUCUGAUACAAUUGCAGUCUGUGACAAGAGAUUCUGCUAUCUCAGUGUUCUCUUGAUGACUCUUUUAUAACUAGAAAUCAUGAUUAUUUUAUUAUUUAUUAUACAAACAACGUUAGGGGCACAUUAACAAAAAUGAAAACCUUCUCUGACAAUCUGCCACCCUAGUAAGUCAGCUUCCUUUUAUCCCUGUUCCCUGCCUGUUCUAAUCCAUAUGCAUGCAGUAUUUGUUCCUAUAGCAAUGUUCUUAUAACAUGAACACAAUUUUCUGUUUUCUUUUAGCCACCUGUAUAGUCAAAGCUUUUUCCCUGUUGCUUCACAGUGCAUCCUCUGUCUCUGCAUGAGAAAGUAAAGUGACUUGAGAACACGUGGAUGUGUCUGGGUCCCUUGUGCCCUUCCUUGUAACCAUUGAGGUACUGGCAGGUGUGGAUGUACCAGGCUGUCCCUGGCCACAGCUGCCAAGGACUGGGGCCUGGUGUUGAUGCCUACUCAAGAGAGCUCUUGGUUAAGGUGGUACUAAUCCCAUACUGGGUUAGUCACCUCUUCUGUGUUG